AGGACGAACGCUGGCGGCAGGCCUAACACAUGCAAGUCGAGCGCCCCGCAAGGGGAGCGGCAGACGGGAGAGUAACACGUGGGAACGUACCCUUUGGUUCGGAACAACACAGGGAAACUUGUGCUAAUACCGGAUAAAGCCCUUACGGGGAAAGAUUUAUUGCCAAAGGAUCGGCCCGCGUCUGAUUAGCUUGUUGGUGAGGUAACGGCUCACCAAGGCUACGAUCAGUAGCUGGUCUGAGAGGAUGAUCAGCCUCACUGGGACUGAGACACGGCCCAGACUCCUACGGGAGGCAGCAGUGGGGAAUAUUGGACAAUGGGCGCAAGCCUGAUCCAGCCAUGCCGCGUGGAUGAUGAAGGCCCUAGGGUUGUAAAGUCCUUUGACGGGGAAGAUAAUGACGGUACCCGUAGAAGAAGCCCCGGCUAACUUCGUGCUAGCAGCCG
rnacentral:rRNA from 1 species